UGGGGAAUUUUGGACAAUGGGCGCAAGCCUGAUCCAGCCAUGCCGCGUGCGGGAAGAAGGCCUUCGGGUUGUAAACCGCUUUUGUCAGGGAAGAAAUCUUCUGAGUUAAUACCUCGGGAGGAUGACGGUACCUGAAGAAUAAGCACCGGCUAACUACGUGCCAGCAGCCGCGGUAAUACGUAGGGUGCAAGCGUUAAUCGGAAUUACUGGGCGUAAAGCGUGCGCAGGCGGUUUUGUAAGACAGAGGUGAAAUCCCCGGGCUCAACCUGGGAACUGCCUUUGUGACUGCAAGGCUUGAGUGCGGCAGAGGGGGGAUGGAAUUCCGCGUGUAGCAGUGAAAUGCGUAGAUAUGCGGAGGAACACCGAUGGCGAAGGCAAUCCCCUGGGCCUGCACUGACGCUCAUGCACGAAAGCGUGGGGAGCAAACAGGAUUAGAUACCCUGGUAGUCCACGCCCUAAAACGAUGUCAACUGGUUGUUGGGAAGGUUCCUUCUCAGUAACGUAGCUAACGCGUGAAGUUGACCGCCUGGGGAGUACGGCCGCAAGGUUGAAACUCAAAUGAAUUGAC
rnacentral:rRNA from 1 species